rnacentral:rRNA from 1 species
UGAGGUUCUAACUCUGUCCCGUUAUCCGGGACGAGGACCAUGUCUGGUGGGUAGUUUGACUGGGGCGGUCUCCUCCUAAAGAGUAACGGAGGAGCACGAAGGUACCCUAAGAGCGGUCGGAAAUCGCUCGUUUAGUGUAAUGGCAUAAGGGUGCUUGACUGCGAGAGUGACAACUCGAGCAGGUGCGAAAGCAGGUCAUAGUGAUCCGGUGGUUCUGAAUGGAAGGGCCAUCGCUCAACGGAUAAAAGGUACUCCGGGGAUAACAGGCUGAUACCGCCCAAGAGUUCACAUCGACGGCGGUGUUUGGCACCUCGAUGUCGGCUCAUCACAUCCUGGG